rnacentral:tRNA from 1 species
GGAGUGGUAGUUCAGCUGGUUAGAACGCCUGCCUGUCACGCAGGAGGUCGCGGGUUCGAGUCCCGUCCAUUCCGCUA